ACGCGUGAGUAACCUGCCUUUCAGAGGGGGAGUAACGUUCUGAAAAGAAACGCUAAUACCGCAUGAGACUACAGAGCUGCAUGGCUCAGUGGUCAGAGGAGCAAUCCGCUGAAAGAUGGACUCGCGUCCGAUUAGAUAGUAGGCGGGGUAACGGCCCACCUAGUCGACGAUCGGUAGCCGGACUGAGAGGUUGAACGGCCACAUUGGGACUGAGACACGGCCCAGACUCCUACGGGAGGCAGCAUG
rnacentral:rRNA from 1 species